UACGUAGGGGGCAAGCGUUGUCCGGAAUCAUUGGGCGUAAAGCGCGUGUAGGCGGCUCGGUAAGUCUGCUGUGAAAGUCCAGGGCUCAACCCUGGGAUGCCGGUGGAUACUGUCGAGCUCGAGUCCGGAAGAGGCGAGUGGAAUUCCUGGUGUAGCGGUGAAAUGCGCAGAUAUCAGGAGGAACACCAAUGGCGAAGGCAGCUCGCCGGGACGUGACUGACGCUGAGACGCGAAAGCGUGGGGAGCAAACAGG
rnacentral:rRNA from 1 species